rnacentral:tRNA from 1 species
GGUAAAAUGGCUGAUUUGUAGGUGAUAAAUUGUAAAUUUAUUUAUGAAUUUUUUCUUUUACUA